CAAGGAAGAAGCGAAAGUGACGGUACUUGCAGAAAAAGCGCCGGCUAACUACGUGCCAGCAGCCGCGGUAAUACGUAGGGCGCAAGCGUUAUCCGGAAUUAUUGGGCGUAAAGAGCUCGUAGGCGGUUUGUCGCGUCUGCUGUGAAAACCCGAGGCUCAACCUCGGGCCUGCAGUGGGUACGGGCAGACUAGAGUGCGGUAGGGGAGAUUGGAAUUCCUGGUGUAGCGGUGGAAUGCGCAGAUAUCAGGAGGAACACCGAUGGCGAAGGCAGAUCUCUGGGCCGUAACUGACGCUGAGGAGCGAAAGGGUGGGGAGCAAACAGGCUUAGAUACCCUGGUAGUCCACCCCGUAAACGUUGGGAACUAGUUGUGGGGUCCAUUCCACGGAUUCCGUGACGCAGCUAACGCAUUAAGUUCCCCGCCUGGGGAGUACGGCCGCAAGGCUAAAACUCAAAGGAAUUGACGGGGACCCGCACAAGCGGCGGAGCAUGCGGAUUAAUUCGAUGCAACGCGAAGAACCUUACCAAGGCUUGACAUACACGAGAACACCCUGGAAACAGGGGACUCUUUGGACACUCGUGAACAGGUGGUGCAUGGUUGUCGUCAGCUCGUGUCGUGAGAUGUUGGGUUAAGUCCCGCAACGAGCGCAACCCUCGUUCUAUGUUGCCAGCACGUAAUGGUGGGAACUCAUGGGAUACUGCCGGGGUCAACUCGGAGGAAGGUGGGGAUGACGUCAAAUCAUCAUGCCCCUUAUGUCUUGGGCUUCACGCAUGCUACAAUGGCCGGUACAAAGGGCUGCAAUACCGUGAGGUGGAGCGAAUCCCAAAAAGCCGGUCCCAGUUCGGAUUGAGGUCUGCAACUCGACCUCAUGAAGUCGGAGUCGCUAGUAAUCGCAGAUCAGCAACGCUGCGGUGAAUACGUUCCCGGGUCUUGUACACACCGCCCGUCAAGUCAUGAAAGUCGGUAACACCUGAAGCCGGUGGCCCAACCCUUGUGGAGGGAGCCG
rnacentral:rRNA from 1 species